rnacentral:rRNA from 1 species
UUCCGGUUGAUCCUGCCGGAGGCGACCGCUAUUGGAGUUCGAUUAAGCCAUGCGAGUAGAAAGAAAUUAGAUUCUUUGCAUACUGCUCAGUAACACGUGGAUAACCUGCCCUACACUGGGGGAUAAUCUUGGGAAACUGAGGAUAAUACCCCAUAGACCACUACGCCUGGAACGGUGAGUGGUUGAAAGCUCCGGCGGUGUAGGAUGGGUCUGCGGCGUAUCAGGUCGUAGGGGGUGUAAUGGACCUCCUAGCCAUCGACGCGUACGGGUUGUGGGAGCAAUAGCCCGGAGACGGAUUCUGAGACACGAAUCCGGACCCUACGGGGUGCAGCAGGCGCGAAAACUUCACACUGCAGGAAACUGUGAUGAGGGAACUCCAAGUGACUGCACAAUGUGUAGCCUUUUCUUGAAUCUUAAUA